UAUCUUGAUCCUAACCUCGUUGAUCACAUAUUUGUUGACAUCUAGCUGUUUCUCCUAUGAAGAGAGUUAAUUUCGUUAUGCCCAGAUUUUACUAGUUUAUAAAUUUUAAAAAAUCUUUAAAAUCAGAAAUGGGGAUGGGGAAAGACAUAAUUGACUCUUUUUUCUAAUUUGGUUAAUUUGAUUAGUUCUUCAAAUCUCAUCAGAAGUACUUUAUUCCGUAGAAUUGCUUCUCUUUACCUUAAUGCUACUCAUAGAUGUCAGAAUGGUAUCACCCAUGAGUCGGCUAGAACUGCACUCAGCACACACACCCAUGUGUGCUGAAUCAGGAUGAGCCUUUAACAAGAUACCCAGGUGAUUCUGAUGCACAUUAACCUUUGUGACAUACUGCUUAAUCCCUUGCAUAGCUUUUUGACCACUCCUCUGUGCUUCCAGAACAAACUGGGUUUCCUGUAAACCUAGCCCUUAUCACAAGGAAAACCAGCUUUGGCUUGUUUGUUUGCCCCUCUAGCUGGAAGGUGGCUACAAGAUUUCUAGCACAAUCAAAAAUAUCUUAAUUGGAACAGUGGCUUCGAUCUUAGAAGACUACAUUAUUUAUGACUUAUUUUACAACUGAAGAAAAGGAAUGAUAAGAAAUUGUAUAGGUGUCAGUUUAAGGUUUCCUGAAACUGAACUUCCAUCUAUAAAUUAAGGUUUUUAUCUACAGCCUGAAGUUUAAGAAUAGACUUCCUAACAAAUACGAAUUGAUACCUCUCUGUGGUUUUGAUUUGCAUCUGUCUGACGGUUGGUGCUGUGGGGUACCUGACCUGUUGGGUAUUGUCACUCAACAAAUAUUUAUUGAGUUUGUCCCAUAUGCUCCAUGCUCGGCCCUGUGGGGAGUGUUAGGGACGAAGAGUUUAACAGGAUUCUGUCAUCAAACAGCUUCCAUGUUUGUGGGAAAGUUGGAAAACCACAGUAGUGCUGUGCAGCAUGAUGCCAUCCGUUCUAACAGAAUGCACUGGACGCUUCAGAGGCACAGAUGAAUGGCAUCUAAUCAGCCUAGGAGGAAGGAAAAAAUUUAUAAGAGGAUGUGAUAAGAAAAUAAGAAAAAAAAAAAAAGAAAAAUUAACCCAAAGGAAAAGAAUUCUGAAACUUUGCUAUGUAAAAAACCAAAGAAUUUAUAAAGGAAAUAUGUCAGAUCGGGCAAUAGGCAGGAUCCAUUGAUCUUUUUUGGCAUGCUAAACUGCGUUUUUUUGCUUGAUAUUGUUGAAGAAUGAAACCGUGAUUAAAUUACUCAAAAGCCCA